CUGGUAUCAAUAACUUUUACACGAUGGUGAAAAAAACUAGUAACAUAUCAUGUACAGAUAAAAAAAACCAUUAACACAAAGCUGAACUUUAUUAACAAGAAAAUGAGGAUGUAAUUCACCAAAAGAGAAAAGAGACAAACUUUUCUUUCCAGUGUGGAUGUAUCAUUAUUAUUAUUACAGGGUUAUUUGCUACACUACACUAGGGAUUAUUACAUCACCCUUAACCCUGAUACGUGGGGAAGAACUAUAACAAAAAGAAAACGAAGAUAACCUCUUAGCAAAAGUUGUUGCAUCCAUGCAUAUUUCAUAUAUGACCCUUUGAUGACAACAAUUUUGUUCCCAUUUUCUAGAAUCAUUUGGAGUUAUCACGCUUACUCUUACUCUCUUUGAGAAAAGAGGCACUCUUGGUAAUCUCACGCAAUGGUUUAUCUGUGAAUCUAAUGAUGUUGUAAACCCAUGCUCCAGCAAUUGCACCAAGAAUAGGUGAUACUAUAUAUAUCCAUAUUCCUUUGUAUUCAUUGUGUACAAAUGCAGGUCCUAAGCUUCUUACUGGGUUCAUUGAUGCUCCUGUCACUGGCCUGUUAUAUAAGAAAGUAUAUGAAUGACUGCAUUACUACAGGAAUUAAGGAUAAAUUUGUUGCAUAAUAGAGUAAAUGUGUGUACAUUUAUUUCGUCUAAGAAUAUAUGUAUUCAAAAAUAUAUGAGAUUGUCUAUGGUUAAACUUUAUAUUAUUUUAAGAAAAACUAUUGAUUAGGGACAUGGAGACAAGAUUUUUUUGGGACAGAGUAUCCUUGUCCCACAAUUAUGGCAUUCAUGAUGCAGUUGCUCUUUGUUCUAGUGUGUUGUUGGCCUAUAAUUAUUCCAAGAACAAGACAAAAGAGUGGUACCCAUAACACUGUUCAGACCACAACUUGAGUCUAGUUCUUUUCCAUGCUAGCAUGUUCUGAGUUCUGCAUGUACAUCUAUGUUUAGGGGGACAUCCUAACUUCUAUUCCUUUAUGUUCCUUUCCAAUCACAAUAUACAUGUUUUACAGGGGUAGAACACACUAGACCACAUCUAUAGCCUAUAAAUUGGCCUAUCACACCUUAGACUAAAUUUACUAAGUUUUUUUAAAAAUUAUUUAGUUUAAGAGGUUAUACUAUUUUAAUGUAACCAAAAUUAUUAUGUGUCAAAUUUUAAUAUAAAAAAUACUAGAUUCGAUGAUAUUAUCUAUAUGGAAGAACAAAAAUUUGUAAAUAAAGAUCAAACUGGUAUCAAUAACUUUUACACGAUGGUGAAAAAAACUAGUAACAUAUCAUGUACAGAUAAAAAAAACCAUUAACACAAAGCUGAACUUUAUUAACAAGAAAAUGAGGAUGUAAUUCACCAAAAGAGAAAAGAGACAAACUUUUCUUUCCAGUGUGGAUGUAUCAUUAUUAUUAUUACAGGGUUAUUUGCUACACUACACUAGGGAUUAUUACAUCACCCUUAACCCUGAUACGUGGGGAAGAACUAUAACAAAAAGAAAACGAAGAUAACCUCUUAGCAAAAGUUGUUGCAUCCAUGCAUAUUUCAUAUAUGACCCUUUGAUGACAACAAUUUUGUUCCCAUUUUCUAGAAUCAUUUGGAGUUAUCACGCUUACUCUUACUCUCUUUGAGAAAAGAGGCACUCUUGGUAAUCUCACGCAAUGGUUUAUCUGUGAAUCUAAUGAUGUUGUAAACCCAUGCUCCAGCAAUUGCACCAAGAAUAGGUGAUACUAUAUAUAUCCAUAUUCCUUUGUAUUCAUUGUGUACAAAUGCAGGUCCUAAGCUUCUUACUGGGUUCAUUGAUGCUCCUGUCACUGGCCUGUUAUAUAAGAAAGUAUAUGAAUGACUGCAUUACUACAGGAAUUAAGGAUAAAUUUGUUGCAUAAUAGAGUAAAUGUGUGUACAUUUAUUUCGUCUAAGAAUAUAUGUAUUCAAAAAUAUAUGAGAUUGUCUAUGGUUAAAUAAUAAAACAAUAUAUGCUCAUUAAUUUCCUAACGCUACACACUUAAUAUGCAUGUAAUUAGGCGUUGGUUAGGUUAGUACCCUG
rnacentral:lncRNA from 1 species